GGAAUAUUGGGCAAUGGGAGGAAUCCUGACCCAGCGACGCCGCGUGAACGAAGACGGCCUUCGGGUUGUAAAGUUCUUUUAUGUGGGAAGAAUGAAGUGACGGUACCACAUGAAUAAGCCCCGGCUAACUACGUGCCAGCAGCCGCGGUAAUACUGUAGGGGGCUGAGCAGUUGUCCGGAAUUACUGGCGUAAAGGGCACGCAGGCUGUGCUUCAAGUCAGCUGUAAAAGGAUGCGGCUUAACCGUGUUUAGCAGUUGAAACUGGAUGACUGGAGUGCUGGAGAGGCAAGUGGAAUUCCCAGUGUAGCGGUGAAAUGCGUAGAUAUUGGGAAGAACAUCGGUGGCGAAGGCGACUUGCUGGACGGUAACUGACGCUGAGGUGCGAAAGCCAGGGUAGCGAACGGGAUUAGAUACCCCGGUAGUCCUGGCUGUAAACGAUGAAUGCUAGGUGUGCGAGCAGAGAUGUUGGUGUGCCGCAGUUAACGCGAUAAGCAUUCCGCCUGGGGAGUACGGUCGCAAGAUUGAAACUCAAAGGAAUUGACGGGGGCCCGCACAAGCGGUGGAGCACGUGGUUUAAUUCGAUGCAAACCGAAGAAC
rnacentral:rRNA from 1 species